ensembl:lncRNA
GGAAGAUCCUGGCAGCACGUGAGUCUCUGCUCUGUGCACACGGCCAGCGCAUACCCAUGUGCGGAAGCGCGUUGCCAGGCGUCAGAGAUGAGGAAGACAAGGAGAGAGAACAGGGAAGGGAGAAUGGAGGAGGCGAGAGAAAGGAGAGUGAAAGAGAAAACGCUCUGUCACGAAAAGCUUGAAACCUGCCUCCCAGCCUUCCCCUUGUAAUUAGUUGAUGCAGCUGGCGGGGAAGAACUCUUGUUCUGGAGGUCAGAAGUCAUAAAUGAGCCUCAAGGGAGCUGAAAUCCAGGUGAUGGCAGAGAUGGUUCCUUCUGGAGGCUCCAAGGGGAAUCUGUUCCGUGCCUCUUCCAGUUUCCAGCUGCCAUCAUACCUUGGCUUCUUGGCUCAUGGCUGCAUCACUCCAAUUUCUGCUUCCUUCAUCAGGUGGCCUUCUCCCCUCUAUGUUGCUACUGCCUGCCUCAUAUAAGGAUGCUUGUGAUUGCAUCGUUGGGCCCACUGGGAUAAUCCAGGACGAUCUCCCUAUCUCAAGGUCCUUGGCUUACACCUACAAAAUCAUAUUCAUAGGUUCCAGGGCUUAGGACAUGGACAUCCUCGGGGGGCUCUCUUCAGCCUACCACAGGGAUGGUUUGUGUUUCUAGAACACCUCUCAUCCUACCUGCCUGUGCGUUAUGCCAGUAAACAAAGCCACCAUUUAGCAAACAUGGACUCUGCUUGGAGCUGGACCGAGUGUUCCGUGUGCAGCACCGUGCUGACCCCUCACAACCCUGUCUGAUGCUGGCACAUUUACUUUCAUUCUUGUCUUAGAGAGGAGAAACCAAAGCCUGAGAUUUAAGUGACUUGCUCAAGGUCGUACAGGGAGUAAGUCAAGGACCUGAGAUUUGAACCCAGGUCUGUUUGGUUCCAAGAUCAUUUUCCUCGACAUCCCCCUCUUCCUGCCUUGGUAGCCAGCCCCCAAGAAGGCUCCCACUGGUCCUUGUCACUCCCUAUGUAGACCCCUCCCACAUGGUACCGGGAUUGGUCACUGUGACCAAUAGAAUACAACGAAAGAGGUUAUGUGUCUUCUGAGGCUAGGGCACCAAAGAUGUUGUCACCUUGCUCUCUCUCGGACACUCGGUCUGGGGAACCAGAUGCCAGGUUGUGAGCAUGCUGAAGCAGCUCUGUGAAGAAGGUUCACGUGGUAACUGAGGCCCCCUGCCAACAAACAGCACCAACUCGCCAGCUGUGUGACUGAGCCACCUCGGAAGUGGAUCCCCCAGCCCCAAUCAGGUCCUCAGAUGACUGCAACCCUGGCUGACAUCUUGAUGCAACUUUAUGAGACAUCCAGAUUCCAAACCGCCCAGCUAGGACGUUCUUGGAAACUGUGAGAUAAGAACUGUUUAUUUUUGUUUUUAGCCACUACUUGUUGAAGUAAUUUGUUAGGCAGCUAUAUACGACUAUUACAAGGCCCAAGUUUUGGAAGUCUGAGCAGGUUUUGCUCUGAGCUUUAGCUAUUUCAAAGGAGGUGCUAGUCAGGCCUUCACCCUCUGGAAACUGUGUUCCAGUCCAGCAGGUUAGGCGGCCGGCCCUGGAGUGGGGAACCCAGCAAUUCCAGAACAUUCCUCAUUCCUGAGCACUUCCCACAAAGAACAGAAAUACCUUUCAUCUAUUAUCCCGCUGCUCUAAAACCAUCAAUGGCUCCUUAAUGCCCAUAAAUGGUUCUCUCAAGCCCAAACUCCUUAGUCUGGCAUUCCACCUCGCCCUCUCUCCCAUGUCACAACUCUUCCAGGCUCGUUCUCAUUGCUCCUCAGGCUGACCCUUCAAGCCUGGUCAGACCAAGGUGUUCACUGCUGGUACAACCUCUUCGUGGUCUGCUUGCUUGCGCUGCUCUCCCCUUGUCAGUUGCAAAUGAAUGAACAAAUACAGACCAAGGAUCUGCUAGGUACUGGGAGCCAGUGAUGGAUGCUUCUAUGUGCACUGUCUCAUUUUGCACAACAGGCCAUUUUUGCAGAGAAGGAAAGCGAGGUUAAGUGACCAGCCCAAAGUCCCAUGGGAGGUGAGUAGCAGAGUCAGUCCUGAUGGAGUCAGGCCCUGCUCAGCUCUGUGGCUGUAAGUCCAGUGUUUUUCCACUACACCGUAUUGCAUCUGACUCAUAUUUCUAUGGAAUUUUACAGUUUAUAAGGACCCUGCUUAUCAUAAUUUUUAUAGAGCUUCACAAUAACCAGUGUGCUAGAUGGAGCAAGAAUUGCUUCCCCCAUUUCGCAGAUGAUGAACCCGACAUGAGGAACAGGAUUUGUCCUCAUAGGGACAAGUGUCAGAGCUGUGAAUCCAACUUAAUCUGUCUCCAGACCCACACUCUUUCCUCCACCUUCUCUUUGUGCCUCUCCCUAAAUGUACCAUGGAGUUUUGCAUAUAAUGGAUGCCCAAUGCAUACUUGUUGUCUAACUGAUUAAUUUUGUAAGGUAUUCUUUAGUAAAUGGUGCAGAAGGAGGUCUGGUGUCUGGAGAAUUAUCCAUGAUGACUAAGACUAAUUUUAAAAAAACUUUAAAAGGUGUAGCAGGAAGGUGUGAGAGCAGACUUCAGAUAGAACCUUAUGAUGGAAAGGGCUGGUAGUCACUGAAUGUUGAACAAAGGAGAUGUGGAAUUAACUAUGCUGGGGAAUCUCUAAGAAUGACCCACCCUUGCCUGAGUCCAAGAAGGCACUGUGUACUCUUAGGGGUAGGGGGAUGGACAAAGUGAGCCAUGGAAGGUCCAGACGGCCCAGCAUCCAUGACUCUGACGUGGGUCUCAAGUUAUCUGAGUCACUGAAGAAGAGCAAAGAGG